rnacentral:rRNA from 1 species
UAGUGGCGAACGGGUGAGUAACACGUGGGCAAUCUGCCCUUCACUCUGGGACAAGCCCUGGAAACGGGGUCUAAUACCGGAUACCACUCCUGCCCGCAUGGGUGGGGGUUGAAAGCUCCGGCGGUGAAGGAUGAGCCCGCGGCCUAUCAGCUUGUUGGUGGGGUAAUGGCCCACCAAGGCGACGACGGGUAGCCGGCCUGAGAGGGCGACCGGCCACACUGGGACUGAGACACGGCCCAGACUCCUACGGGAGGCAGCAGUGGGGAAUAUUGCACAAUGGGCGAAAGCCUGAUGCAGCGACGCCGCGUGAGGGAUGACGGCCUUCGGGUUGUAAACCUCUUUCAGCAGGGAAGAAGCGAAAGUGACGGUACCUGCAGAAGAAGCGCCGGCUAACUACGUGCCAGCAGCCGCGGUAAUACGUAGGGCGCAAGCGUUGUCCGGAAUUAUUGGGCGUAAAGAGCUCGUAGGCGGCUUGUCACGUCGGAUGUGAAAGCCCGAGGCUUAACCUCGGGUCUGCAUUCGAUACGGGCUAGCUAGAGUGUGGUAGGGGAGAUCGGANUUCCU